UACGUAGGGUGCAAGCGUUGUCCGGAAUUAUUGGGCGUAAAGAGCUCGUAGGCGGUCUGUCGCGUCUGCUGUGAAAACUCAGGGCUUAACCCUGAGCUUGCAGUGGGUACGGGCAGACUAGAGUGCGGUAGGGGAGACUGGAAUUCCUGGUGUAGCGGUGAAAUGCGCAGAUAUCAGGAGGAACACCGGUGGGCCGAAGGCGGAUCUCUGGGCCAU
rnacentral:rRNA from 1 species